UACGGAGGGGGCGAGCGUUAUUCGGAAUUAUUGGGCGUAAAGGGCGCGUAGGCGGCUUGACAGGUCAAAGGUGAAAUCCCUCGGCUCAACCGAGGAAUUGCGCCCAAAACUGCCGCACUAGAGGAAGACAGAGGUACGCGGAACUUAGGGUGGAGCGGUGAAAUGCGUUGAUAUCCUAAGGAACACCGGUGGCGAAAGCGGCGUGCUGGGUCUUAUCUGACGCUGAGGCACGAAAGCUAGGGGAGCGAACGGG
rnacentral:rRNA from 1 species